GCGAUCAUAUCAACACUAAUGCACCGGAUCUUAUCAGAACUCCAUAGUUAAACAUGCUUUGGCAGGAGUAGUACUAGGAUUGGUGAUCUCCUGGAAAGUCCUCGUGUUGCACCA